CCUACGGGUGGCAGCAGUGGGGAAUAUUGCACAAUGGGGGGAACCCUGAUGCAGCGACGCCGCGUGAGCGAUGAAGUAUUUCGGUAUUUAAAGCUCUAUCAACAGGGAAGAAAAUGACGGUACCUGACUAAGAAGCCCCGGCUAACUACGUGCCGGCAGCCGCAGUAAUACGUAGGGAGCAAGCGUUAUCCGGAUUUACUGGGUGUAAAGGGAGCGUAGACGGCAGUGCAGGUCUGAAGUGAAAGGUAAGGGCUCAACCUUUGGACUGCUUUGGAAACUGGGCGGCUGGAGUGUCGUAGAGGAAAGGGGAAUUCGUGGUGUAGCGGUGAAAUGCGUAGAUAUUAGGAGGAACACCAGUGGCGAAGGAGGCUUGCUGGACGAUGACUGACGUUGAGGCUCGAAAGCGUGGGGAGCAAACAGGAUUAGAUACCCGAGUAGUC
rnacentral:rRNA from 1 species